AGAUGACCUCCAAGAUCACUACUACUACUACUACUACUACUACUAUGACCCUUUGCAAGUAGCUCUUGAUUCGUUUAGCAACCGCUCAAAGAUACAAUACAAAGAAAAAAAUAAUAUAUAACAGGUCCUUGCAUUUUAAACUGUUGCAACAUCCCCAUGGUCACGCGAUCAAAAUCUGAGCACUUAGAAACCGGAAUACAUUUAUGACAGUUGCAGCAUCUCACACAGUCAUGUGCUUGCCAUUUAUUUGGGACUUUCCCAGCCAACUUCCAAGGAGCAAAGUCAAUGGGGGAAGUCGGAUUUGCUUAACAAUUGUGUGAUUCGCUUAAUAACGGCAGUGAUUUCCUCAACUGUCAGGGAAAAAAAAGUCGUACAAUCAAGCACAACUCAUUUAACCAUCUUGCUUAGCAGUGGAAAUUCUGGAAAUUCUAAAUCGAAGACUGCCUGUAAUCUGGCAAAAAUAAAUAACUAAAAGAGCCUAACGUUCCUCUUUUGUCUACAGAUACCUCUGCAACGUUGAACGGUGUAGAAAGGCUGCAGAAAUAAGAAUUCGGAGCAACCUAGAUACAGAGAGGUCUUUGACUGGAUUUUCUCUUACUAACUCCUGUUUGUUUUGCAACCUUCAAUGUCACAGAACAUAUUCUUCUGAGCUUCCCAUCUCUGCUCCCCAACAUCCCUGCUCCAUGUCGGACUUUGCAUGAUUAUUCUUAGGCAGUUUUGACAGCCUCAGGUGCUAGAUAGCUCACUAACUAACAUUCUCCUCCUGAUUAUGGGGGAGUGUGAAUAAAGCAGAGCCGUAUUGAUUCACACCAAUCUAUGCAUUGACUGUGCGAAAGCCACUUGCAAUUCCCACCAGCAUUAGAAAUAGGGAGGGAUAUGACCAGGCAAGUUGAGAAAAUAAAUUAAAAGCGUGUCAACUUUUCUUGCUGCUUUUUUAAAGUUAUUAAUGGAUGGAAUGGGAGCUCGUUUAUUGAGGAAAGGCAAAAAUUAAUUGACGCCAGCUUUAAUAUUAUUAUGCCCAGCGUGCCUGGUCACAUUUCUUUCUUUAUUUAUUUUUAAAAGUCAUUUUAUUACAGUUUACAGCAGCCAGCUGCCAAAGCUAGUGGUGUAAACAAGAAAGCAGGUGUGUGAAUAAUGGGGCAGCCGAAAGAGACAAUUCCUUUACGGCAUCAACUCAACCGUCUUAAGUGCAAGCGAAGAGAAAAGCAGAGUAAAUAUAGACUUGGAAAAGAUCACCUGGCAAGGAAUCAUAUGAAAGAGCAAGACAAGAACAGGGGAGUAAUAUUUCUUCAUUAUCCAGCUCGGAAUUGCAGAAAGGAGUUAGCAGCAACAGGGACUAAGGCUAGAUAAUAUAUACUUCUGUCAUCCAGAGUUUUCUGCAUCUGCCAGAGGGCCAGAUGAGAAGUCAUGUUGCAGAAAGAGAUCAAUUUUGAGCUGUGCAAGAGCUGAAUGACAGUGGGAUCCACCCACUAAUCAGCUGAAAUAUGGAAAACUAUAAAGAACAGGGCGGGCUUCACGGACUGGCGUCUUAGAACCUUGAUGAGGCCUGCUGCAAACGACUGACCGGCCCAUCUGCUAUUAAUUGUUUUAUUUAUAGCAUUUGCUAACUUUUAACUGCAAUUCUGGCUUUUUGCCCCCAGGGUCCUGGAAGAUGCCUUUUUCCAAAGAUCACUGUGUGUGGAAAGGGGUCGAUGGAGGAGGAGGAUCUUAGUAGUGCUUCUGGUUUUUUUAAGGAUUUAAAAGAAGAUCCUUGAGGAUUUUCACCUCAGACUGGUCUCUGCAGUCUGGAUCCCAGGUUGAUCUAUUGGAAAAGAAAGACUAGACCUAGAAUACUGGUUCCUUGAAGUCAGGUGCAUGAUCUAUUGCUGGGGUUCCCAACCUGGCUGGGGAUCGCAGGACCCUAGGACACGGCAAACGUUGUAAAUACGUACCGGUUGCCAAGCACCUGGAUUUUGAUCACAUGACUAUAGGGAUGCUGCAAGGGUCGUAACUGUGAGCAACAGUUGUAAGUCACUCUUUUCAGGGCCGUUGUAACUUCAAGCGGUUGCUAAACAAAUGAUUGUAAGUCGAGGACUACUUGUGCUGCAAAAAUAUACCCUCUCCAAUUGCUAGGAUCACCAGGAGGGGCUGGAACUCCAGGGUUAUUUAGCCUCCGCUUUGCAACACAGCCAAUACCACAAUUAAUUUCUCCUGGUUAAACUCUGGAAAGCUCCAGUUGGGAACUCUGCAGAGCAUUUAUCAUCAGCGUUAAGACAUCACUGAUCUAGGUGGACCAGCUUUUAAGAUUUCAGAACAGGGGACCUUUUUCCUAGCUAUCACAAGAAAGUGUCCAAUUUAUUAAAAAAGAGGACACCCGCUCCCCCCCCCAAAAUCAAACCUACAAGGGAAAUGUAUGCAGUUAUAGCAGUUUGCCCUCAAUCAACCCCUUCCCUCUCUCUGUUUUGCACCCAGUUCCGAGAAAUAUUCCCGCAAAUACCCACAGUGAAGAAAAUCUGUUGUCAGCUGAAAAGGGGAAGGGGCAGAAGCGGGAGAGGAAAUGCACCUGAGGCCAAAGCUUGGAAAAUAUCAACCUCAUUGAAUUCUGACUCUAGCAGCCAGCCUGUGAAUGACACUUGUCAAGGGAGAAGAUUAGCUCACUGACGCUUUUUGGCGCAUGCAUAAAGGCGUCUAUUGUGCUGGGAGGGAAGGGAAUAAGAAUGAGAGAAGAGCACAUCCAGCCUGUCUCGGCAAGGUAUGAUGGCCCCUAAGAUGUGCAAAGGCUCCACGGAGGCCACAAGAGAAAGGCCUUAAGGCAGAAACCGGCAGGCAAGGGCCUCCGAGUGAGGACUUCACAAAAAAGGUCCGGACAUUUUAAUACCGACACAGCAGGAGAGAGGAGACGGGAGGUCAGCUGCGCAGCAGGAGAAAGAGGCAACAAUUGUCUCUGGCUUUGGCGGCGGCUUUUCCAGUUCCUUCCCCUCGGAUGGAUGGCAUUUGCGACAGAGCUCAGUCAAAGGUCUUUGGGAAGGACUCGACAGGUGGAUAAACAUGCCAAAUCCAGUCUAAACCACUGGCUGACUUGAGUGACCAACCAUAAUAAUAAUAAUCCUAAGAAGUACAGUUCACAAGAGAGAUUAACAAUUUCAGCCUGAGAACACGGAAACCCUGUAAUUUUCCGGAUUCUUUGGGAAAAGCCAAAGAAUUAAACCGUAUUGUGUCAACCUA